UUCCCUUAAACCAAGCAUUCCAGUACCAGAAAUAGAAAGAGCAUCAACAGAUCAGGUCAUCUUUCUGCUCGUUUUUGUGGGGUGUUUUUGCUACCUUAUCAAUCACAAAUUCUGGAUUCAAAUAGUUCACUUGCUCGACGUUUAGUGUACAAUAGAAAAUUAAGAUUACCUAAUGAAACAGGUACUACGCUGCUUCUGCGAUUUCCUGAAAUCACUUGGAGACUCAUGGAUUAACAAUGGUGAAUGGAUGGUUAAAUGCAAGUAUGAUGCCUCUAUUAAGCUGAACCAAAAUGAUCUGGAAGAUAUUGGUAUGUUGUACAUAAGAUAUAUUUGGGAAAUAUUUCUUACCUGAUCAGCAUUAACAACAAUUUGCAUUUGCUGGAAUUGAAACAGCACAGUCCAUGCUUGAAGACAUGAACAAGCUAGCAAGAGAAAGGAUGUUUGAUAUGAUGGAUGAGGAUGAGCAGAUGAAUGGAUAUAGUCCCUCCGAGACUGCAUUUGGGAAAGCUUUGUCAGAGUCCUAUUCAGACAGUAAAAAUUCCCUUUCCAGUUCUCCAGCUACUCCAACUUCAGUCCUUCAAGAUAUGACCAAUAUGUUAUCCAAAGGCACAAAGCAAUCCUAUACUCCACCUCUUCUGCUUCAACUUAGAGUUCAAGCAGUUGAAAAACUGAACCCCAUAGAUAUAAAGCGCCUGUCAUUCCACAUGCUUCCUCAUGCAGCAGCUCCAGAUCCUAAUUACCCACUCCAGAAAUGUGAAACAUUUGAGGGACGACGGCUGGAGCUGGAAGCAAAACAUGAAU
rnacentral:lncRNA from 1 species